UACGUAGGUGGCAAGCGUUGUCCGGAUUUACUGGGCGUAAAGGGCGUGCAGGCGGUCUGCUAAGUCUAGGGUGAAAGCUCCCGGCUCAACUGGGAGAGGUCCUUGGAUACUGACAGACUUGAGGGAGGCAGAGGAGAAUGGAAUUCCCGGUGUAGUGGUGAUAUGCGUAGAUAUCGGGAGGAACACCAGUGGCGAAGGCGACUUCCUGGCCUGUUCUUGACGCUGAGGCGCGAAAGCUAGGGGAGCAAACGGG
rnacentral:rRNA from 1 species